UACGAAGGGAGCUAGCGUUGUUCGGAAUCACUGGGCGUAAAGCGCACGUAGGCGGCUUUUUAAGUCAGGGGUGAAAUCCUGGAGCUCAACUCCAGAACUGCCUUUGAUACUGGGAGCUUGAGUCCGGGAGAGGUGAGUGGAACUCCGAGUGUAGAGGUGAAAUUCGUAGAUAUUCGGAAGAACACCAGUGGCGAAGGCGGCUCACUGGCCCGGUACUGACGCUGAGGUGCGAAAAGCGUGGGGAGCAAACAGG
rnacentral:rRNA from 1 species